UACGGAGGGGACUAGCGUUGUUCGGAAUUACUGGGCGUAAAGCGCACGUAGGCGGAUUUGUAAGUCAGGGGUGAAAUCCCGGGGCUCAACCUCGGAACUGCCUUUGAUACUGCAAAUCUCGAGUCCGGAAGAGGUGAGUGGAAUUCCUAGUGUAGAGGUGAAAUUCGUAGAUAUUCGCAAGAACACCAGUGGCGAAGGCGGCUCACUGGCCCGGAACUGACGCUGAGACGCGAAAGCGUGGGGAGCAAACAGG
rnacentral:rRNA from 1 species